AGUGUCAGCAAAUUGACUCAUGAUGCUGUAGAGUUCAGCCCAGUCAAUGUGAAUGCCAACUUACCUGAUAUUAGAGCAAGUGUCAGUCAAUUGCCUCAUGAAGCUGUCAAGUUUUGGUUGAGUCUGCUUGCAAGGACAGUCAAGUGGCUUACUGUUACAGUCAGGUGUCAAUAUUGAUUGUCUUGUGAUGAUUUCAACCUCUUUUGGGCCAAUCCUACACAUGCC